rnacentral:rRNA from 1 species
AUGAGCAGGCAGAUUACACAAGUUUAUGGCUUCUAUGAUGAGUGUCUCCAUGAAUACGGCUCGGUGAAUGUCUGGAGAUGUUGCACAGAAAUAUUCGACUAUUUAAGUUUGUCUGCACUUACUAAGAACAAAAUCUUCAAUGUCCAUGGAGGCCUUUCCCCUGCUACUACGACACUGAAUCGGGUACAUUAUUCGCUGGUUUUAUAUUUUGUAUAG